UUUUUUUUUUUUGCUCAUGAGAAAAUAUACAAGAAGGACAAAUUAUUUGUCUGUCUUUUUAUCAUCCUUACCAUCUUUUAUCAGCAGACCUAAGCUAUCAUCAUGUCUCACCUGGUUUCCUGUGAUAAAAUCCUAACUUGAACUCUCCCAGACCACCCUCUUCCUCAAACAUGCCUUAUCUAUUAUUACACAGAAGCUGGACUGAUCCCUUUAAAGUACAAGAUAAGUCACUUUUCCUUCUUAGAACCCUCCAGAGAGUUCUCUUUUCUAUGCUAAGUCAAAACCAAAAUCAUGACCAAGGUCUGGCCCCACUUGCCUGAUUCCAUUAACUCUCUGAUCUUAUAUGUCUUUUUUCUCUCUUUUGCUAACUUUGCUCCAGGCUCUUUGGCCUCUCUGCUCUUCCUUGACCAAACUAGAUACACUCUAAUCUUAGUGCAUUUUUACUUAUUUUUCUUCUUCAUGGAAUAAUUUUUUCCCCCAGACAUGCAAUGUUUAACUCCUUCAGUGACUUUAAGAUUUUCCUCAAUGCUAACUUCACCUAGAGUAAUGUCUUGAAAACCUCACUUGGAAUUUCAAGCCUUACUCUUACCACUCUCAGUGUACCUGACCCUGGCCUAAUGUUAUAACUCUUAUAGCCUUAUAACAAUAUUAUGUACUUAUUUUUUAUGCAUAUAAUUCAUUUUCUUUCUCUUUUCUAUGCCAUGUAAGCUCUGUGAGGGCAAAUUUUAUCUAUUUUUGCCAGUAAGGGGCAUUCAGGGUAAUUUGGGGAUCAGAGGCUUUUGCUCACUGCCACUGCAUGUUUCAGUGACCUACAGGUCCAAUGUGAUGUAGACAGAGGAGGUUCUUGUGCCUGGAAAUUUUCUCUUUUAGUGCUGUCACCCUCAUCAUCAAGUGUUUGUUUGUUUGUUUUUGGUCUUUUUGUCUUUUUAGGGACACACCUGUGGCAUAUGGAAGUUCCCAGGCCAGGGGUCUAAUCAGAGCUGUAGCUGCCAGCCUAUUCCACAGCAAUGCAAGAUCAGAGCUACAUCUGCAACCUAUAUCACAGCUCAUGGCAAUGCCAGAUCCUUAACCCACUAAGCAAGGCCAGGGAUUGAACUUGCAUCCAAGCUGUGUCUGUGACCUACACCACAGCUCACAGCAAAGCUGGAUUCUUAGCCACUGAGGGAGGCCAGGGAUUGAACCCACAUCCUCCUGGAUACUAGUCAGGUUCGUUUCCACUGAGCCACAAUGGGAACUCAUUAUUGACUUUUGUCACCAUUAAGUGCCCUUUCCCCCGUCAUCAUUACUAAUUGCCUUCCACUCCUACAUUUUUUAUGAAGAAUAUCCUUCAAUACUUUUGUCGAUGCUAACUAUGGUUAUUAUGAACUGUAGGAUUUUAUUUUCCCUCAUUCUGGAAUGAUGUUUGGGCACUGUAUUCAAUUCUCCACUGAGUCUCCAAGCCUCUGUCCCAGUCCCGUGUGGACGUGAAGCCCAAGGACUAAGUGGAUCCAAUAAUCCCCAGCAUAGCUGCAGAAAUGCUAGCUCAUGAGUCAAAGCUACAGUUUUCAGCAAUUUAUUGUCUUCUGAAAUAUGGGAAUUUCCUUUUCUUUUGUAACCCCAGGCAUACUUUUUAACAAACAUUUUUGUUACAUUUUAUCUGGCAUUAUAUAUUUUUGUGAGUACUACAGCAUAACCCAUUCUUUCAUAUCACAGGCACUGAAAAGUCUUAGUACUAUGACUUCAUGGGACUAGAUUAUGCCUGUAUAGUUAGAACAAGGUCACUUUGAUUAUACUUGAAUAUAAAAAGAUAUUCAAUGAUAUGCCACAUUAAAAUUUUGAUAAAUUCUUUAAGAAUAUUUUGCUCCAAAGAUAUUAAAUUAGGAUUUAGUAGGACUUUAAAGUGCUUCUAAUUGCACCUCCAACCUGCCAAAAAAUCCCCCAUUCACCUUUGACUUUAACAAGAACACCCAUGAUAAAGUUAAUUCACAUAUCGAGGCCC
rnacentral:lncRNA from 1 species